CUGCAAGAGAUGAGAUCCAAGAGGGAUAUAGUGCUGCAUGAGAAGAAUUUCAAGCUCCAGCUAAAAAGAACAACAAACAUGGAAUCAGCACUUGUCCACAGCUGUGACACCAAAGCCAACCCACCAUGCAGCUCAUGUGAGAAGGGCCACAGUCUGUUUGUUGGAUGUAUUGUGAUCUUCAGCAUGUUGAAGAGAGCCUGUGCGAAUUGUCACUACAAUUCACUAAGCAAACACUGCAGCUUGCAGCCCAAGAAUCAGCAGUCCACUGGCCCUGCAGCUGCAGAGGAGAAUGAGAAGAGGAAAGGAAAGAGAAAGAAGUGGGCUGUCAGUGUGGAGCUGAGCCAGGCAGCUGAGUCAUCUGAUUCAGCAAAAAAGAAACAGGUGUCAUUUGUGGCUCUGGAGGAUGAAGAGAAGAAUGAUGAGGUGAGUGACAGUGGGGCCAUGGAGCUGGAGUUGUUGCAGCUGUGGGCGGAGGUGUACUGGCUCUGUAAUAUGG
rnacentral:sRNA from 1 species